CCUAGAGUCUGGAGCUGCAGAAGAGGCAGGGCGGAGAGGAGGGGAAAGAAGCAUCUGAACGGCUAAAUUGUGCCAGCAGCGCUGAGAGCGAGAGUCGCGAGACCGUGCUGAGGACGUGGUUGUCUGUCCUUCCCCCGGGGAUGCCGUUGACUGCGGCCGUCUCAGGCUUGCGUGGCUUCUCUCUGCCCGGUGUUGCCAUCCUCGCAGCGCGGGGGCGAAAAGGGACACACAGAGCCCUUCCCGGCUGUGGACAGGAGCUGCCUCGGCUGAAGCUGGAGACGCCAACGAAAGGUGGAGGACGGCCUAGAGUCUGGAGCUGCAGAAGAGGCAGGGCGGAGAGGAGGGGAAAGAAGCAUCUGAACGGCUAAAUUGUGCCAGCAGCGCUGAGAGCGAGAGUCGCGAGACCGUGCUGAGGACGUGGUUGUCUGUCCUUCCCCCGGGGAUGCCGUUGACUGCAGCCGUCUCAGGCUUGCGUGGCUUCUCUCUGCCCGGUGUUGCCAUCCUCGCAGCGCGGGGGCGAAAAGGGACACACAGAGCCCUUCCCGGCUGUGGACAGGAGCUGCCUCGGCUGAAGCUGGAGACGCCAACG